rnacentral:rRNA from 1 species
UUAAAUUGAAGAGUUUGAUCAUGGCUCAGAUUGAACGCUGGCGGCAGGCCUAACACAUGCAAGUCGAACGGUAACAGGAAACAGCUUGCUGUUUCGCUGACGAGUGGCGGACGGGUGAGUAAUGUCUGGGAAACUGCCUGAUGGAGGGGGAUAACUACUGGAAACGGUAGCUAAUACCGCAUAACGUCGCAAGACCAAAGAGGGGGACCUUCGGGCCUCUUGCCAUCGGAUGUGCCCAGAUGGGAUUAGCUAGUAGGUGGGGUAACGGCUCACCUAGGCGACGAUCCCUAGCUGGUCUGAGAGGAUGACCAGCCACACUGGAACUGAGACACGGUCCAGACUCCUACGGGAGGCAGCAGUGGGGAAUAUUGCACAAUGGGCGCAAGCCUGAUGCAGCCAUGCCGCGUGUAUGAAGAAGGCCUUCGGGUUGUAAAGUACUUUCAGCGGGGAGGAAGGGAGUAAAGUUAAUACCUUUGCUCAUUGACGUUACCCGCAGAAGAAGCACCGGCUAACUCCGUGCCAGCAGCCGCGGUAAUACGGAGGGUGCAAGCGUUAAUCGGAAUUACUGGGCGUAAAGCGCACGCAGGCGGUUUGUUAAGUCAGAUGUGAAAUCCCCGGGCUCAACCUGGGAACUGCAUCUGAUACUGGCAAGCUUGAGUCUCGUAGAGGGGGUAGAAUUCCAGGUGUAGCGGUGAAAUGCGUAGAGAUCUGGAGGAAUACCGGUGGCGAAGGCGGCCCCCUGGACGAAGACUGACGCUCAGGUGCGAAAGCGUGGGGAGCAAACAGGAUUAGAUACCCUGGUAGUCCACGCCGUAAACGAUGUCGACUUGGAGGUUGUGCCCUUGAGGCGUGGCUUCCGGAGCUAACGCGUUAAGUCGACCGCCUGGGGAGUACGGCCGCAAGGUUAAAACUCAAAUGAAUUGACGGGGGCCCGCACAAGCGGUGGAGCAUGUGGUUUAAUUCGAUGCAACGCGAAGAACCUUACCUGGUCUUGACAUCCACAGAACCUUGUAGAGAUACGAGGGUGCCUUCGGGAACUGUGAGACAGGUGCUGCAUGGCUGUCGUCAGCUCGUGUUGUGAAAUGUUGGGUUAAGUCCCGCAACGAGCGCAACCCUUAUCCUUUGUUGCCAGCGGUCCGGCCGGGAACUCAAAGGAGACUGCCAGUGAUAAACUGGAGGAAGGUGGGGAUGACGUCAAGUCAUCAUGGCCCUUACGACCAGGGCUACACACGUGCUACAAUGGCGCAUACAAAGAGAAGCGACCUCGCGAGAGCAAGCGGACCUCAUAAAGUGCGUCGUAGUCCGGAUUGGAGUCUGCAACUCGACUCCAUGAAGUCGGAAUCGCUAGUAAUCGUGGAUCAGAAUGCCACGGUGAAUACGUUCCCGGGCCUUGUACACACCGCCCGUCACACCAUGGGAGUGGGUUGCAAAAGAAGUAGGUAGCUUAACCUUCGGGAGGGCGCUUACCACUUUGUGAUUCAUGACUGGGGUGAAGUCGUAACAAGGUAACCGUAGGGGAACCUGCGGUUGGAUCACCUCCUUACCUUAAAGAAGC